UACGGAGGGUGCGAGCGUUGUCCGGAAUCACUGGGCGUAAAGGGCGCGUAGGUGGCCUGUGGAAGUCUGCGGUGAAAGCCCGGCGCUCAACGCCGGGUCGGCCGUGGAUACUCUCGGGCUUGAGCUUACUAGAGGCAGAUGGAAUUCCGGGUGUAGCGGUGGAAUGCGUAGAGAUCGGAAAGAACACCAACGGCGAAAGCACUCUGCUGGGCCGACACUGACACUGAGAGACGAAAGCUAGGGGAGCGAAUGGG
rnacentral:rRNA from 1 species